GACGAACGCUGGCGGCGUGCUUAACACAUGCAAGUCGAACGGAAAGGCCCUGCUUUUGUGGGGUGCUCGAGUGGCGAACGGGUGAGUAACACGUGAGUAACCUGCCCUUGACUUUGGGAUAACUUCAGGAAACUGGGGCUAAUACCGGAUAGGAGCUCCUGCUGCAUGGUGGGGGUUGGAAAGUUUCGGCGGUUGGGGAUGGACUCGCGGCUUAUCAGCUUGUUGGUGGGGUAGUGGCUUACCAAGGCUUUGACGGGUAGCCGGCCUGAGAGGGUGACCGGCGAGGGGGGGACGGAGAAACGCGCACGAGUCAUAGGGGAGGCAGAGGGGGGGAAUAAUGAACAAAGGGCGGAAGCCUGAUGCAGCAACGCGGCGUGCGAGAUGAGUGCCAUCGGGUUGUUAACGGCUUGCGCCUGUGACGAAGCGUGAGAGAGGGUGAUGUGUAGAGAGGCAGGGGCAAAAUACGUA
rnacentral:rRNA from 1 species